UACGUAGGGUGCAAGCGUUGUCCGGAUUUAUUGGGCGUAAAGAGCUCGUAGGCGGUUUGUCGCGUCGGAUGUGAAAACCCAGGGCUCAACCCUGGGCCUGCAUUCGAUACGGGCAGACUAGAGUAUGGCAGGGGAGACUGGAAUUCCUGGUGUAGCGGUGAAAUGCGCAGAUAUCAGGAGGAACACCGGUGGCGAAGGCGGGUCUCUGGGCCAAAACUGACGCUGAGGAGCGAAAGCUAGGGGAGCAAACGGG
rnacentral:rRNA from 1 species